UCUUACUGACGUUCAUGCUCGAAGGUGCGGGUAUCGAACAGGAUUAGAUACCCUGGUAGUCCGCACGGUAAACGAUGGAUGCCCGCUGUUUGCGAUAUACUGUGAGCGGCCAAGAGAAAUCGUUAAGCAUCCCACCUGGGGAGUACGCCGGCAACGGUGAAACUCAAAGGAAUUGACGGGGGCCCGCACAAGCGGAGGAACAUGUGGUUUAAUUCGAUGAUACGCGAGGAACCUUACCCGGGCUUGAACUGCAGGAGAAGGAUACAGAGAUGUUGACGCCCUUCGGGGCUCCUGUGGAGGUGCUGCAUGGUUGUCGUCAGCUCGUGCCGUGAGGUGUCGGCUUAAGUGCCAUAACGAGCGCAACCCUUUUCUUCAGUUGCCAUCAGGUUAAGCUGGGCACUCUGGAGACACUGCCACCGUAAGGUGUGAGGAAGGUGGGGAUGACGUCAAAUCAGCACGGCCCGAACGUCCGGGGCUACACACGUUUUACAAUGGGUGGUACAGAGAGUCGGUCGUCUGCAAAUGCGAUCCAAUCCUUAAAGCCAUCCUCAGUUCGGAUUGGGGUCUGCAACCCGACCCCAUGAAGCUGGAUUCGCUAGUA
rnacentral:rRNA from 1 species